rnacentral:rRNA from 1 species
GAUGAACGCUGGCGGCGUGCUUAACACAUGCAAGUCGAACGGUGAAGGCGGAGCUUGCUCUGCUGGAUCAGUGGCGAACGGGUGAGUAACACGUGAGCAAUCUGCCCCUGACUCUGGGAUAAGCGCUGGAAACGGCGUCUAAUACUGGAUACGAGCUGCGAAGGCAUCUUCAGCAGCUGGAAAGAACUUCGGUCAGGGAUGAGCUCGCGGCCUAUCAGCUUGUUGGUGAGGCAACGGCUCACCAAGGCGUCGACGGGUAGCCGGCCUGAGAGGGUGACCGGCCACACUGGGACUGAGACACGGCCCAGACUCCUACGGGAGGCAGCAGUGGGGAAUAUUGCACAAUGGGCGAAAGCCUGAUGCAGCAACGCCGCGUGAGGGACGACGGCCUUCGGGUUGUAAACCUCUUUUAGCAGGGAAGAAGCGAAAGUGACGGUACCUGCAGAAAAAGCGCCGGCUAACUACGUG